AGAUCUAACACAAUUAUUUCCUCCUCUCUCGCAGCUACAGGAAUCGCUGGAGGCAUAAAGGUGAAAGAAUCACAAAGCUGGCAACAAUUUAGAAAUGUUUUAAGAAGAGAAUUAUUCAUCAACACAAUGAUUCAUGCUCACCAGUUUUCCAGAGGAGGGCCAGGUGCAAUGGCAUUUUGCAUGGAAGGACCUGAGCAACCAUUCAUUUGCUAUCACAUGUGACUGGGAGUGUGCACUGUUCUGGAUAGGUUAAUGAGGGGAAAACUACAUGUGGAAGCACAGAGUUUGUUUGCACAGAAUGGAUAUGCAUAUCCUCCUGCACACACUGCUCUAUAUUAUGCUGCAAUGAAGGCUGGCAGGCUUUGCACUGUAGAGGAGGACAGCGAGGUUUCUGGACGCAUUUACAAAAUUUAUUUCUCCAGUUUCAAAUCAGCCAUUCAGGAAGCUCCAUCUCCUGCAAAGAUCAGCUCCAUUGUGGUUGUGUUCCUAGGAAACCUAGCUGUGGAUGAACAAGCAUUUACUCUUAAAGAAGAAAGUACUACUCUGCCUAAGGAUUAUUAUUAG
rnacentral:lncRNA from 1 species